CUACGGGAGGCAGCAGUUGGGAAUCUUGCACAAUGGGGGAAACCCUGAUGCAGCGACGCCGCGUGGAGGAUGAAGGAUCUAGGUCUGUAAACUCCUUUUGUCAGGAAAGACUUAGGACGGUACCUGACGAAUAAGCACCGGCUAACUACGUGCCAGCAGCCGCGGUAAGACGUAGGGUGCGAGCGUUGUCCGGAUUUACUGGGCGUAAAGGGCGCGUAGGCGGUCUGUUAAGUGUGAAGUGAAAUCUCCAUCGCUCAACGAGGAAAUUGCUUCGCAUACUGGCAGACUGGAGGGAUGCAGAGGUGAAUAGAAUUCCUGGUGUACCGGUGACAUGGAUUGAUAUCAGGAGGAAUACCCAAGGCGAAGGCAGUUCACUGGGCAUCAUCUGACGCUGAGGCGCGACAGCGUGGGGAGCAAACAGGAUUAGAAACCCCGGUAGUCC
rnacentral:rRNA from 1 species